rnacentral:pre_miRNA from 1 species
UGUAAGACGUGUUGACUUUUUGCUUAUAACGUUUGACCGUUCGUCUUAUUUAAAAAAUUAUGAAAGUAUCAUUUAUUUUGUUUGUAACUUACUUUAUUAUAAAAAAUACUUUAAGCAUACUUACUGUUUUUUACAUUUGCACAAAAUUUUUGAAUAAGACGAAUGGUCAAACGUUGAAAGCAAAAAGUCA